rnacentral:rRNA from 1 species
UACGUAGGGGCUAGCGUUGUCCGGAAUCAUUGGGCGUAAGCGCGCGUAGGCGGCCCGGUAAGUCCGCUCUGAAAGUCCAGGGCUCAACCCUGGAAAGCGGGUGGAUACUGCCGGGCUAGAAUCCGGAAGAGGCGAGUGGAAUUCCUGGUGUAGCGGUGGAAUGCGUAGAUAUUGGGAGGAGCACCAGUGGCGAAGGCGGCUCACUGGACCGGUACUGACGCUGAGCGCGAAAGCGUGGGUAGCAAACAGG